rnacentral:rRNA from 1 species
UGGGGAAUAUUGCACAAUGGGGGAAACCCUGAUGCAGCGACGCCGCGUGAGCGAUGAAGGCUUUCGAGUCGUAAAGCUCUGUCCUAUGGGAAGAUAAUGACGGUACCAUAGAAGAAAGCCCCGGCUAAUUACGUGCCAGCAGCCGCGGUAAUACGUAAGGGGCGAGCGUUGUCCGGAAUUAUUGGGCGUAAAGAGUGCGUAGGCGGCAAAUUAAGUCAGAUGUGAAAACUAAGGGCUCAACCCAUAGAUUGCAUCUGAAACUGAUAUGCUUGAGUCAAGGAGAGGAAAGUGGAAUUCCUAGUGUAGCGGUGGAAUGCGUAGAUAUUAGGAGGAAUACCGGUGGCGAAGGCGACUUUCUGGACUUGAACUGACGCUGAGGCACGAAAGCGUGGGGAGCAAAAAGG